UUACGGCCACAUCGCGUUGAAACACCGAUUCCCGUACGAUCACUGAAGUUAAGCAAUGUCGAUCAUGGUCAGUGCGUAGAAGGAUGACCGCAUGAGAAUAUCAGGUGCUGUAAG